rnacentral:rRNA from 1 species
GUAACAAGGUCUCCGUUGGUGAACCAGCGGAGGGAUCAUUAUAGAGUUUUCUAAACUCCCAACCCAUGUGAACUUACCAUUGUUGCCUCGGCAGAAGCUACCUGGUUUACCUUACCUUGGAACGGCCUACCCUGUAGCGCCUUACCCUGGAACGGCCUACCCUGUAACGGCUGCCGGUGGACUACCAAACUCUUGUUAUUUUAUUGUAAUCUGAGCGUCUUAUUUUAAUAAGUCAAAACUUUCAACAACGGAUCUCUUGGUUCUGGCAUCGAUGAAGAACGCAGCGAAAUGCGAUAAGUAAUGUGAAUUGCAGAAUUCAGUGAAUCAUCGAAUCUUUGAACGCACAUUGCGCCCAUUAGUAUUCUAGUGGGCAUGCCUGUUCGAGCGUCAUUUCAACCCUUAAGCCUAGCUUAGUGUUGGGAGCCUACUGCUUUUGCUAGCGGUAGCUCCUGAAAUACAACGGCGGAUCUGCGAUAUCCUCUGAGCGUAGUAAUUUUUAUCUCGCUUUUGACUGGAGUUGCAGCGUCUUUAGCCGCUAAACCCCCCAAUUUUUAAUGGUUGACCUCGGAUCAGGUAGGAAUACCCGCUGAACUUAAGCAUAU